GGAAGAUGUAACGGGGCUCAAACCACGCACCGAAGCUGCGGGUGUCACGUAAGUGACGCGGUAGAGGAGCGUUCUGUAAGCCUGUGAAGGUGAGUUGAGAAGCUUGCUGGAGGUAUCAGAAGUGCGAAUGCUGACAUGAGUAACGACAAUGGGUGUGAAAAACACCCACGCCGAAAGACCAAGGGUUCCUGCGCAACGUUAAUCGACGCAGGGUUAGUCGGUUCCUAAGGCUAGGCUGAAAAGCGUAGUCGAUGGGAAACAGGUUAAUAUUCCUGUACUUCUGGUUACUGCGAUGGA
rnacentral:rRNA from 1 species